rnacentral:rRNA from 1 species
UUCAUCGUCAGCGAUUUUGGUACGUGUGCGGUUCGUGAUGGCGGUGACUUCGGUCGCGCGACACUCGUCUGCAUGUUUAUUAUUGCCGAAGUCGUCGGCGUGCACUUCUCCCCUAGUAGGACGUCGCGACCCGUUGGGUGCCGGUCUACGGCUCGGGAUGGUAGCCUGUCUCGUGUGCGUCUCACGGCGUUUCGCGGGGCAGACCGCCGAUCGCCCGACCGGCUACCCGGCGGUACUCGCACGGUAUCUGGCCGCAAAUAUUUGAACUGCGUCCGGCCCGUCGCAAGCGAGGAAAGUGU